rnacentral:rRNA from 1 species
GGUUAAGCGACUAAGCGUACACGGUGGAUGCCCUGGCAGUCAGAGGCGAUGAAGGACGUGCUAAUCUGCGAUAAGCGUCGGUAAGGUGAUAUGAACCGUUAUAACCGGCGAUUUCCGAAUGGGGAAACCCAGUGUGAUUCGUCACACUAUCAUUAACUGAAUCCAUAGGUUAAUGAGGCGAACCGGGGGAACUGAAACAUCUAAGUACCCCGAGGAAAAGAAAUCAACCGAGAUUCCCCCAGUAGCGGCGAGCGAACGGGGAGCAGCCCAGAGCCUGAAUCAGUGUGUGUGUUAGUGGAAGCGUCUGGAAAGGCGUGCGAUACAGGGUGACAGCCCCGUACACAAAAAUGCACAUAUUGUGAGCUCGAUGAGUAGGGCGGGACACGUGGUAUCCUGUCUGAAUAUGGGGGGACCAUCCUCCAAGGCUAAAUACUCCUGACUGACCGAUAGUGAACCAGUACCGUGAGGGAAAGGCGAAAAGAACCCCGGCGAGGGGAGUGAAAAAGAACCUGAAACCGUGUACGUACAAGCAGUGGGAGCACGCUUAGGCGUGUGACUGCGUACCUUUUGUAUAAUGGGUCAGCGACUUAUAUUCUGUAGCAAGGUUAACCGAAUAGGGGAGCCGAAGGGAAACCGAGUCUUAACUGGGCGUUAAGUUGCAGGGUAUAGACCCGAAACCCGGUGAUCUAGCCAUGGGCAGGUUGAAGGUUGGGUAACACUAACUGGAGGACCGAACCGACUAAUGUUGAAAAAUUAGCGGAUGACUUGUGGCUGGGGGUGAAAGGCCAAUCAAACCGGGAGAUAGCUGGUUCUCCCCGAAAGCUAUUUAGGUAGCGCCUCGUGAAUUCAUCUCCGGGGGUAGAGCACUGUUUCGGCAAGGGGGUCAUCCCGACUUACCAACCCGAUGCAAACUGCGAAUACCGGAGAAUGUUAUCACGGGAGACACACGGCGGGUGCUAACGUCCGUCGUGAAGAGGGAAACAACCCAGACCGCCAGCUAAGGUCCCAAAGUCAUGGUUAAGUGGGAAACGAUGUGGGAAGGCCCAGACAGCCAGGAUGUUGGCUUAGAAGCAGCCAUCAUUUAAAGAAAGCGUAAUAGCUCACUGGUCGAGUCGGCCUGCGCGGAAGAUGUAACGGGGCUAAACCAUGCACCGAAGCUGCGGCAGCGACGCUUAUGCGUUGUUGGGUAGGGGAGCGUUCUGUAAGCCUGCGAAGGUGUGCUGUGAGGCAUGCUGGAGGUAUCAGAAGUGCGAAUGCUGACAUAAGUAACGAUAAAGCGGGUGAAAAGCCCGCUCGCCGGAAGACCAAGGGUUCCUGUCCAACGUUAAUCGGGGCAGGGUGAGUCGACCCCUAAGGCGAGGCCGAAAGGCGUAGUCGAUGGGAAACAGGUUAAUAUUCCUGUACUUGGUGUUACUGCGAAGGGGGACGGAGAAGGCUAUGUUGGCCGGGCGACGGUUGUCCCGGUUUAAGCGUGUAGGCUGGUUUUCCAGGCAAAUCCGGAAAAUCAAGGCUGAGGCGUGAUGACGAGGCACUACGGUGCUGAAGCAACAAAUGCCCUGCUUCCAGGAAAAGCCUCUAAGCAUCAGGUAACAUCAAAUCGUACCCCAAACCGACACAGGUGGUCAGGUAGAGAAUACCAAGGCGCUUGAGAGAACUCGGGUGAAGGAACUAGGCAAAAUGGUGCCGUAACUUCGGGAGAAGGCACGCUGAUAUGUAGGUGAAGUCCCUCGCGGAUGGAGCUGAAAUCAGUCGAAGAUACCAGCUGGCUGCAACUGUUUAUUAAAAACACAGCACUGUGCAAACACGAAAGUGGACGUAUACGGUGUGACGCCUGCCCGGUGCCGGAAGGUUAAUUGAUGGGGUUAGCGCAAGCGAAGCUCUUGAUCGAAGCCCCGGUAAACGGCGGCCGUAACUAUAACGGUCCUAAGGUAGCGAAAUUCCUUGUCGGGUAAGUUCCGACCUGCACGAAUGGCGUAAUGAUGGCCAGGCUGUCUCCACCCGAGACUCAGUGAAAUUGAACUCGCUGUGAAGAUGCAGUGUACCCGCGGCAAGACGGAAAGACCCCGUGAACCUUUACUAUAGCUUGACACUGAACAUUGAGCCUUGAUGUGUAGGAUAGGUGGGAGGCUUGGAAGUGUGGACGCCAGUCUGCAUGGAGCCGACCUUGAAAUACCACCCUUUAAUGUUUGAUGUUCUAACGUUGACCCGUGAUCCGGGUUGCGGACAGUGUCUGGUGGGUAGUUUGACUGGGGCGGUCUCCUCCUAAAGAGUAACGGAGGAGCACGAAGGUUGGCUAAUCCUGGUCGGACAUCAGGAGGUUAGUGCAAUGGCAUAAGCCAGCUUGACUGCGAGCGUGACGGCGCGAGCAGGUGCGAAAGCAGGUCAUAGUGAUCCGGUGGUUCUGAAUGGAAGGGCCAUCGCUCAACGGAUAAAAGGUACUCCGGGGAUAACAGGCUGAUACCGCCCAAGAGUUCAUAUCGACGGCGGUGUUUGGCACCUCGAUGUCGGCUCAUCACAUCCUGGGGCUGAAGUAGGUCCCAAGGGUAUGGCUGUUCGCCAUUUAAAGUGGUACGCGAGCUGGGUUUAGAACGUCGUGAGACAGUUCGGUCCCUAUCUGCCGUGGGCGCUGGAGAACUGAGGGGGCUGCUCCUAGUACGAGAGGACCGGAGUGGACGCAUCACUGGUGUUCGGGUUGUCAUGCCAAUGGCACUGCCCGGUAGCUAAAUGCGGAAGAGAUAAGUGCUGAAAGCAUCUAAGCACGAAACUUGCCCCGAGAUGAGUUCUCCCUGACUCCUUGAGAGUCCUGAAGGAACGUUGAAGACGACGACGUUGAUAGGCCGGGUGUGUAAGCGCAGCGAUGCGUUGAGCUAACCGGUACUAAUGAACCGUGAGGCUUAACCUU